rnacentral:rRNA from 1 species
CGCGUCUUAAACAUGCAAGUCGAACGAUCUGUAGCAAUACAGGGAGUGGCGGACGGGUGAGGAACACGUAGGAAUCUACCUUGAAGAGCGGGACAACUUUGGGAAACCGGGGCUAAUACCGCAUAGUACAGAGAUGUUAAAGGGCUAGCAAUAGUCGCUUCGAGAUGAGCCUGCGGUCUAUCAGCUUGUUGGUGAGGUAAUGGCUCACCAAGGCUACGACGGAUAGCCGGUCUGAGAGGAUGAUCGGCCACACUGGCACUGAGACACGGGCCAGACUCCUACGGGAGGCAGCAGUUAAGAAUCUUGCGCAAUGGGGGAAACCCUGACGCAGCGACGCCGCGUGAAGGAUGAAGGCUUCGGGUUGUAAACUUCGGUAGACUGGGAAGAAGAACUACGUUCGUUGAGGGCGUAGAGUGACGGUACCAGUCUGAAGCCCCGGCUAAUUACGUG